rnacentral:rRNA from 1 species
GACGAACGCUGGCGGCGUGCUUAACACAUGCAAGUCGAACGGUAAGGCCCCUUCGGGGGUACACGAGUGGCGAACGGGUGAGUAACACGUGAGCAACCUGCCCUUGACUCUGGAAUAACAGUUGGAAACAGCUGCUAAUACCGGGUAUGACCUGUCAUCGCAUGGUGGUGGGUGGAAAGUUCUGGCGGUCAGGGAUGGGCUCGCGGCCUAUCAGCUAGUUGGUGAGGUAANGGCUCACCAAGGCUUCGACGGGUAGCCGGCCUGAGAGGGCGACCGGCCACACUGGGACUGAGAUACGGCCCAGACUCCUACGGGAGGCAGCAGUGGGGAAUAUUGCACAAUGGGCGAAAGCCUGAUGCAGCAACGCCGCGUGCGGGA